rnacentral:rRNA from 1 species
GCGGACAGUGUCUGGUGGGUAGUUUGACUGGGGCGGUCUCCUCCUAAAGAGUAACGGAGGAGCACGAAGGUUGGCUAAUCCUGGUCGGACAUCAGGAGGUUAGUGCAAUGGCAUAAGCCAGCUUGACUGCGAGCGUGACGGCGCGAGCAGGUGCGAAAGCAGGUCAUAGUGAUCCGGUGGUUCUGAAUGGAAGGGCCAUCGCUCAACGGAUAAAAGGUACUCCGGGGAUAACAGGCUGAUACCGCCCAAGAGUUCAUAUCGACGGCGGUGUUUGGCACCUCGAUGUCGGCUCAUCACAUCCUGGGGCUGAAGUAGGUCCCAAGGGUAUGGCUGUUCGCCAUUUAAAGUGGUACGCGAGCUGGGUUUAGAACGUCGUGAGACAGUUCGGUCCCUAUCUGCCGUGGGCGCUGGAGAACUGAGGGGGGCUGCUCCUAGUACGAGAGGACCGGAGUGGACGCAUCACUGGUGUUCGGGUUGUCAUGCCAAUGGCACUGCCCGGUAGCUAAAUGCGGAAGAGAUAAGUGCUGAAAGCAUCUAAGCACGAAACUUGCCCCGAGAUGAGUUCUCCCUGAGACUUAGAGUCUCCUGAAGGAACGUUGAAGACGACGACGUUGAUAGGCCGGGUGUGUAAGCGCAGCGAUGCGUUGAGCUAACCGGUACUAAUGAACCGUGAGGCUUAACCUUACA